ACUCAACACGAUUCAAUUAUGAAGGAUGAGUCUUAACUGUAAAAGCACGCCACUAUUGCUGAACUUGUUUCAGUUCUCAGGUGGAUUCUUGAUCAGUUAGUUAGUCCUAUACAUACCAUAAUGGAGUUU
rnacentral:sRNA from 1 species